rnacentral:rRNA from 1 species
GACGUAGGGCGCGAGCGUUGUCCGGAUUUAUUGGGCGUAAAGAGCUCGUAGGCGGCUUGUCGCGUCGACUGUGAAAACCCGUGGCUCAACCAUGUGGUCUGCAGUCGAUAAGGGCAGGCUAGAAUUCGGUAGGGGAGACUGGAAUUCCUGGUGUAGCGGUGAAAUGCGCAGAUAUCAGGAGGAACACCGGUGGCGAAGGCGGGUCUCUGGGCCACUACUGACGCUGAGAAGCGAAAGCAUGGGGAGCGAACAGG